rnacentral:rRNA from 1 species
UAGGGAAUCUUCCGCAAUGGACGAAAGUCUGACGGAGCAACGCCGCGUGAACGAUGAAGGCCUUCGGGUCGUAAAGUUCUGUUGUUAGGGAAGAACAAGUACCGUUCAAAUAGGGCGGUACCUUGACGGUACCUAACCAGAAAGCCACGGCUAACUACGUGCCAGCAGCCGCGGUAAUACGUAGGUGGCAAGCGUUGUCCGGAAUUAUUGGGCGUAAAGCGCGCGCAGGCGGUCUCUUAAGUCUGAUGUGAAAUCUCGCGGCUCAACCGCGAGCGGCCAUUGGAAACUGGGAGGCUUGAGUGCAGAAGAGGAGAGUGGAAUUCCAUGUGUAGCGGUGAAAUGCGUAGAUAUAUGGAGGAACACCAGUGGCGAAGGCGACUCUCUGGUCUGUAACUGACGCUGAGGCGCGAAAGCGUGGGGAGCAAACA